ACACAUAAAAUAUGAUAGAUAUGUGUUUACUUUAUUGAAUUUUAUGUCUCAGAGAGGAUUUCUCUUUCUUGACUGAAUCUGUGUGGCUUCUUCACUCCUCCAGUCGCCGGAGCAGAUUUUGCAGCCAAUUGCUGCCAGUGGACUUACGGUCAGUUUGCUUUGUAUGAGCCAUUGAGAAUCUAAGAUUCAAAAGUCAUAUUUGUGAUUUGUUUAUACAGAUUUGAGUAUAGUGUCCCUCCUUCUAUCAACUGAGAAGCAUCACUGUCCAAUUGGGUAUUUUUUUUUUGUGAAAAUGUACUGCUGCCCACUCUCACCUUCAAAACAGAGACCUUAUUCAACUGCUCAUUUUCUUUCUCCUUCAGCGACAUAUUUUGGGAUUUGUAAUGCAAGCAAAAGGCUGUCCAUAUCUCUAAUUAAUUUGGGAAAUGAAUCAGAGCAAUCGGUUACUACUUCGAGACUAAAUUAUGGGUUCCGUCUUGCAACCAAAAGGGUGUCUAUUUCACUGACUAGUUCGGGAAAUGGUGAUCGUUUGGUUAAUGUCAGGUGUGGAGAGUUGGCUGUGGAGCAUGAUGAUGGGUUUUAUAUAAGAAGGUGUGUGGAGAUUGCAAGGAAAGCAGUUGGGCAUACCAGUCCUAAUCCUAUGGUUGGGUGUGUAAUUGUUAAGGAUGGGAAGAUUGUAGGUGAAGGUUUUCACCCUAAGGCUGGCCAGCCACAUGCUGAGGUUUAUGCACUCCGAGAUGCUGGUGAUUUAGCAGAAAAAGCAACAGCCUUUGUGAGCUUGGAGCCAUGUAAUCAUUAUGGAAGAACUCCACCUUGCACUGAGGCAUUAAUCAAGGCCAAAGUGAAAAAGGUGGUUGUCGGGAUGGUGGAUCCAAAUCCUAUUGUAGCUUCAACUGGUGUAAGUAGAUUAAGAGAUGCAGGUAUUGAAGUGAUCACAGGUGUUGAAGAAGAACUCUGCAGGAAGCUUAAUGAAGCUUAUAUACAUCAAAUGUUGACCGGAAAGCCAUUUGUCACACUAAGGUACUCUCUUUCAGUUGAUGGUGGUCUCUCGGAUCAGCUGGGUGCAGAAGUCACGGAGUCUGGUGGAUACUAUUCAAAAUUGUUACAAGAAUAUGAUGCAGUUGUGGUUUCUUCUUUCUUGCUGUCAACAAAGCAUUCUGUUCUUUCAUCUAAAGAACCAGGAGCAAAGCAACCUCUUCAGAUAGUAUUAGCAAAAAGUUCAGGUUCACUACAACUCCCUGCCGUUACAGCGAUAUCAUCUAAAACUAUAAUCUUUAGUGAUGAGGAUAUUGUUAUGGAGCUUGAAGCAAGUCAAAGAGGAAUAGAGACAGUAGUUUUCGAUAGGAUGAAUUUAACAGCUAUCCUUGAACAUUGCAAGCGUCAAGGACUGUGCAAUGUGAUGCUGGAUUUGAGAGGAAACUCUGCAGAAUUUGAGGAAAUCCUGCAAGAGGGUUUUGAACAAAAUUUGUUUCAGAAGGUUAUUGUGGAAGUGUUGCCAAUUUUAGGUGCAGGUUAUAAAGAGGCUUUCAAAUAUAUGCAGCAAAACCGAAAGCUGAAGAAUUUAACAUCGAGGAACUUAGGAGAAAGUAUUCUUCUGGAAGGAUAUUUCUAAGUUGAUGGAAGAUUUUAUGAUGAUGGUGAUCAUACAAGGUUAUUUUCCACUUAUCACUGAAAGCUGCAACAAGUCUACAAGCAUAUCAAAGUUACAUUCCUGCAUCUAAAUGAGGGAACUUGAUUUCUGAACCAGUCCUACUUUAUUCAUGCCACUUCAAACUAUACUGAAAGGUCCAUGGCACAAACUCCGGUGAGAAAGACCAAAGGGCUUUGUUUUAUGAUUGCUUUGACUAUUCCUUCCUUGACUCAAAUAUUUGGGCAAAUGAUGGACAAUAUUUGAGUCAAAUGAAAAGAUCAUUUGAAGUUGAAGCUGAAGUCGAGAUAAUGUUUGUGGAUUUUCAGAUAGCGUAACUAAGUUAUACUUCAAUAUCCAAGAUCCACUGUUCUUGAGGUUGCAAGUUCAGAGAAUCCAUAGAAGAGUCUAAAGCUGCCACACCUACAACCCGAAAUGUCCCUCUUCUUCCUUCUCCCCAACAACUUAGCCUCUUCAGAAGAAAAAGACUUAUCCUGACAUUGCCCAGUUGCAGAUUUUCCCUCAUUACAGGAGCAAUGUGUGUUGGAGAACUUUGACAUUAUGUCAUCAAACUAUCAAGGUAACCUAACAUGGUUAUGUGCAGUACAAAUCACAACAAAAUUUGAUGAUAGUGGAGUUUGAAACCACAACUCCACAACCCCUUCCUUACAGGUUGUCACUAAGCCAUCAUUCAAUUUUGUUAGUGAGUUCACAAGUUAAUCUACGUAUAUUUAUUUAAUUUUCUAAUAUAGAUACAUGAUCUACGAAAAAGUUAUUAGGUUCAUUCAAACACUGGUUUCAGUUUUAAUUCUUUUCUUUUUAAAUUGUAGUAAGAGUCUAUGAACUCGUGAAUAUUGGAACACAAUCAUGCAAUGCUUUCAAGGUUCACACCCA